UGCGUAGGUGGUCAGGUAAGUCGGAUGUGAAAUCUCGGAGCUCAACUCCGAAACGGCAUUGGAAACUACCUGGCUGGAGGAAUGGAGGGGGGACUGGAAUUCUUGGUGUAGCAGUGAAAUGCGUAGAUAUCAAGAGGAACACCAGUGGCGAAGGCGAGUCCCUGGACAUCUCCUGACACUGAGGCACGAAAGCUAGGGGAGCAAACA
rnacentral:rRNA from 1 species